rnacentral:rRNA from 1 species
GACGAACGCUGGCGGCGUGCUUAACACAUGCAAGUCGAACGGAAAGGCCCUGCUUUUGUGGGGUGCUCGAGUGGCGAACGGGUGAGUAACACGCGAGUAACCUGCCCUUGACUUUGGGAUAACUUCAGGAAACUGGGGCUAAUACCGGAUAGGAGCUCCUGCUGCAUGGUGGGGGUUGGAAAGUUUCGGCGGUUGGGGAUGGACUCGCGGCUUAUCAGCUUGUUGGUGGGGUAGUGGCGUACCAAGGCUUUGACGGGUAGCCGGCCUGGGAGGGUGACCGGCGACAUUGGGCCUGAGAUACGGCGCAGAAUGGUAUGGGAGGCAGCAGGGGGGAAUAUUGCGCAAUGGGCGGAAGCCUGAGGCAGAAGCGCCGCGUGCGGGAAGACGGCCUUCGGGUUAUAAACAGCUUUCGCCUGUGACGAAGCGUGAGUGACGGUAAUGGGUAAAGAAGCACCGGCUAACUACGUG